UGAACGACUCUCGGCAACGGAUAUCUCGGCUCUUGCAUCGAUGAAGAACGUAGCGAAAUGCGAUACUUGGUGUGAAUUGCAGAAUCCCGUGAACCAUCGAGUCUUUGAACGCAAGUUGCGCCUGAAGCCAUUASGUUGAAGGCACGUCUGCCUGGGCGUCACGC
rnacentral:rRNA from 1 species